rnacentral:rRNA from 1 species
CGAGUUGAGAGGGGUAAGCCCUCGGCAUAUUGCUCAGUAACACGCGGAUAACCUGCCCUUGGGUUUGGGAUAACCCCGGGAAACUGGGACUAAUACCGGAUAGAUCAAAGAUACUGGAAUGUUCUUUGUUCGAAAGCUCCGGCGCCCAAGGAUGGGUCUGCGGCCUAUCAGGUAGUAGUGGGUGUAACGUACCUACUAGCCUACGACGGGUAAGGGUUGUGAGAGCAAGAGCCCUGAGAUGGAUUCUGAGACAUGAAUCCAGGCCCUACGGGGUGCAGCAGGCGCGAAAACUUUACACUGCGGGAAACCGCGAUAAGGGGACCCCGAGUGCCAGCACCUAGUGCUGGCUGUCCAGCUGUUCAAAUAACAGUUGUUAGCAAGGGCCGGGCAAGACCGGUGCCAGCCGCCGCGGUAACACCGGCGGCCCGAGUGGUAGCCGUUAUUAUUGGGUUUAAAGGGUCCGUAGCCGGCCUAUUAAGUCUCUUGGGAAAUCUGGCGACUCAAUCGUCAUGCGUUCAAGAGAUACUGGUAGGCUUGGGACCGGGAGAGGUGGGAGGUACUCCAGGGGUAGGGGUGAAAUCUCGUAAUCCUUGGGGGACCACCGAUGGCGAAGGCAUCCCACCAGAACGGGUCCGACGGUGAGGGACGAAAGCUGGGGGCACGAACCGGAUUAGAUACCCGGGUAGUCCCAGCCGUAAACGAUGCUCGCUAGGUGUCAGGUGCGGUGCGACCGCAUCUG